GAAAGGUGUGUUGUGCAAGCGCAUAGGAGCUUUCAGAUGGCAAAGUCCACCUCCGAGCUGGCCAAGGGAAGCGUUGGGGGUGGAUAAAUGAAAAGGCUCCUGACGGGGACGCCGAAAGCUGGGACGUGGCGGCGCUGCCACUCUCCGCAGAGUGGGAUGUCCCUGGGGAGACAGCACAAGUUAUUCCUGACAGCUCCUCGCCCUGUAAUUGUUCCCCGAGCAGGCAGAUGGCAUCAGGAGACACCGCAGUGUCCCAGGACGUCGCCUCCUGCUCCGGUCCCCUCAGAAGAACCCGUGGCCGCAGCCUCCAUGUGCAGUUUGAAUUUGGAGCUCGGAGCCGUGCUGCGCCUGGAGCCAACCCAGCUGGCUGAGAGACGUCACCGCGAUUAUUUCAGUUAACUCGAUUUACUGCUAUUACUGUCAGCCGGACCUAACGACCCGACACGGAGCAGCAGCCCUUAGAGGACCCAUUUCUAAUUAAUUUUAGCUCAUAAACUAAUUAAUGGA